rfam:Lachnospiraceae bacterium 5_1_57FAA genomic scaffold supercont1.3, whole genome shotgun sequence.
GGGCGUGUAGCUCAGGUGGUAGAGCACUUGACUUUUAAUCAAGUUGUCCGGGGUUCGAAUCCCCGCACGCUCA